rnacentral:rRNA from 1 species
AUGCGAUAAGUAGUGUGAAUUGCAGAAUUCAGUGAAUCAUCAAAUCUUUGAACGCACAUUGCGCUUCCUGGUAUUCCGGGGAGCAUGCCCGUUUCAGAA